rnacentral:rRNA from 1 species
UGGGGAAUAUUGCACAAUGGAGGGAACUCUGAUGCAGCGACGCCGCGUGAGUGAUGAAGGAAUUCGUUUCGUAAAACUCUGUUCUAUGGGAAGAAAAGGACUGUACCAUAGGAGAAAGCUCCGGCUAAAUACGUGCCAGCAGCCGCGGUAAUACGUAUGGAGCGAGCGUUGUCCGGAAUUAUUGGGCGUAAAGGGUGCGCAGGCGGCUUUACAAGUUGGAUGUGAAAUAUUGUGGCUCAACCACAAACGUGCAUCCAAAACUGCAAAGCUUGAGUUAAGGAGAGGUAAGUGGAAUUCCUGGUGUAGCGGUGGAAUGCGUAGAUAUCAGGAGGAAUACCGGUGGCGAAGGCGACUUACUGGACUUAAACUGACGCUCAGGCACGAAAGCGUGGGGAGGAAACAGG